rnacentral:lncRNA from 1 species
AUUUUUUUUUUUUUUUUUGUCUUUUUGCCUUUUCUAGGGCCGCUCCUAUGGCAUAUGGGGGUUCCCAGGCUAGGGGUCUAAUCGGAGCUGUGGCCACUGGUCUAUGCCAGGGCCAUAGGAUCAGAGCGGGAUCCGAGCUGCAUCUGCGACCUACACCACAGCUCACGGUAACGCUGGAUCCUUAACCCUCGGGGCCAGGGAUUGAACCCGCAACCUCAUGGUUCCUAGUCGGAUUCGUUAACCACUGAACCACGAGGGGAACUCCCCUAAUUUGGAUAUUUUUGUAUCUUCCAUAUGUCUCCUUAAUUUUGGAGCAUUUGGAACACUGUUUUAAUAAUUGUUUUAAUGUUCUUGUCCACUACUUUUGUGUCAGUUCUGGGUCAAUUUCAACUAAUUUAUCAUUCUUCUUAUUUUGGGCCAUGUUUUCUUUCUUCUUUGCAUGCCUGUGAUCUUUAUUUGAAUGCCAGACUGUGAAUUUUACUUUAGCUGCUGUAUAUUUUUAUAUUUCUUCUUCUUCUUCUCUUUGGCUGCACCUGCGGCAUAUAGAAGUUCUCAGGACAGGGACUGAAUCUGAGCCGCAGCUGUGACGUCUCCUGAAGCUUUGGCCAUGCCGGAUCCUUAACCCACUGCACCAUGGUGAGAACGCCUAUAUUUUUAUAUUUUUAUAAAUCUUCUUGAGUUUUACUCUUAGAUGCAAUUACUUGGAAACACUUUGAUCCUUUCGAGUCUUGCUUUUAUGAUUUGUUGAAUGCGUCCAGAGCAGUGCUGUAUUAAGUGCUAAUUUUUUUAUCAAUAUUGAAAGAAGGCCUUCCUGACUACUCUAACCAUUGCCCCACAAAUUAUGACUUUUUAUAUUUGUCACUAUAUUUAGUUCUGUGUGACUGCUAGAUACUUCUCUCUAAUCUUUACCCAUGCUUUUCCCAGCUCAGUUUUGUCACACAAAAGUGCCAACGAGUGCUCAUGCUAAUACUCUAGGGGGACUUUCUGUGGAUCUCUGCAAUUCUCUUUUUGCGCAGCGCUCUCCUCUCUGAUACUCCUUCUUGCAAACCCUGCUCUCCUUGGUCUCCCUGGACUCCCAGCUGCAUUUCCUUAACUCAGAGUGUCUGCUGGUCUUCACGCCCUCCCUGCCCUGGGAUCUGCAGUAAACCUGGGCAAUCAAGGGCUCCCAUGGUUGCUUCCCGUCACUCAGGGAUCACUGUUGUUCAUGGCCUGCUACCCAGUGUCUUAAAGACUGUCAUUUCAUAUGUCUUGCCUGGUUUUUGUUUGUUUGUUGUGUAUUUGUUCUAUUUUGUGGUUUCAAGUAGGAGAGUAAAUUCAGUUCCCGUUGCUCCAUCUUGGAUGGGAGCAGACAUCAGAAGGGAACCUUUGAACAUAGACUUGAGGAGGUGAUGGAGUGCAUCAUGGGACUAUGGGGUGGGGAGGAGAAGAGAAUUCCAGGUAGUGGGAGUAGCCAGGUACCAUGGUCCUGAGCACCUGUGCCUGAAAGAGUCCUGCGAGCUCUCAAAGGCCCUGGAUCUCCCAGGCCCAGCAAUGUUUCUGCCAUGUGUAACCAUCUCAAGGUUGUCACCUGCCACCUAGUGGGGGCCUGGGAGUGGGAGGCUGAGGUGGGAAGAGGGAGCAAGGUCCUAAUUCUGGCUGCUCCUGUUUCUUGCUGUGUGACCUCAGGCAAGCCUCUGUGCCUCUCUGUCCCGUUUCCUCACUUGUCACAUGGAGAAGUUUUGAGCACCUUAGGUGGGAAAGUAUUCUCCUGAAGAGGGGGUGGCAGUUGAUGGUCUGGGCUGGGGCAACCCAGUAUGAACUGUUCCCCUGGCCCUCUGCCUGGGGUGACUGAAAAGCAGUUGGGAGCAUAGAGGCCUUUCUCUGGGUCCUGAAGGUACAUAGAGCACAGGCUGGUUGGCGGAGGCCUGGGGCUCAUCUUGGAAUGGAGACAGAUUGACAGACAAAGAGGAGGCAGGAGGGUGGGACUCGGGUGCCUCUGGGGAGAGAAGGAAGAGGAAGGGAUGAGGAGCAGGAAGGAGGAAGGUAGGGCUGUGUGCAGCCUCAAGAACCCAGGAACUUCGAAGUCUCCCGCUAGAGGUUGGACUGGUCCUUUCCCCAGGUGGGGUGGGGUGGGAGGGGUGCUUGCUGGUUCAGCCCUCUGGAUCCUUGGAAUAAAUGAGGGAGGGACUUAGGUGGUAGGGAAUUGCUGAGACUGUGAGAAAACACUCUCCCCUUCCCACAAACUGACCCUUCACCCCUGUCCCCAACUGCACUGCCACUAUGAUGUCUGAACAAGAGCUUUCUCCUCUGAAGGCAGUUCUCAAAAUUGAAUGAGAUUGCUGGGCCUGACCCCAGGUCCGAGGUGCCUCCCGAGCAUGUGCCUGCCUUGCAAGUUCCCAGAUGAUGAUGCUGUUGCUGGUUCUGGGGACACACAUUGAGAACCACUCACUGCUCUGUUGAGUGCCCUGUCAGUUUGGGUCCUUUAGGCUCAGACGCUGAGAGGGAGCCUGGAGAGUAAGAGGUUUAUUAGGGGGUGAUGCCUCUGCAAGAUAAGGGGGAGAGAGCAGAAUUGGAGGGAGAGCUUCAGUCCACUGUGCGGGCCUGGCAUCAUCGUCAACCCAUUGAGGAGCCCUGGAGAAGAAGGCACCCAUCAGAGGAGCCCCUUAUGGCAGAAGUGGUCCAGCCCUGCUUCCUCACCUGGCGUGGACAUGGGCUGGGAUUGCCCAGGAAGAGCGUGGUCUUACCUCAAAAGCCGAGGCGGAACCUGCAGGUGGUGCAGCCAGAGGCUGUUGGCUCACUGCUUUCCUGGUAUCUGAAGGUCAAGUUCUCUCUUGAAGAGAGACCAAGCACCCCUCCAAGGCUGCCAUGGUGUCUACCAUGGGCCAGACUCUGGGCAGAGCAUUUACCUGGAUGAGUGCAGUUUCAUACCCACCCAGAAAAAUCUCAGAAAUAGUUGUUCCCAUUUCAUAUAUGGGAAAAGUGUGGCACUGAGUGAUUAGGUCAUCUGCUCAGAGAUGGAGCUGGGAUUUGAACCCCUCUUGUGCCGUAGCAGUCGCUCCUCUCCAUCUGGGAGGUGAAGAACUCUAAUCCCCUUUACAGCUGGAGAAUCUGAGGUGUGGAGAUGUAACUCGCCUGACCUUAGAGAUUAAAGUAAGUGGGGCUCUGGGAUUUGAACCCUGCUCUGAUCUGUCUCUUCUAACUGUAAGGUACUGUUCUUAGAUACUUCCAGAAGGAUGUGAAAGCAGCAUCUUGGAGCUGGAAGGUGCCUCCCUGGCAUUUGGCCAGUGGGGACACUGAGGCCCAGGGAGGUAAUCGACCAUGCCUCAGUUCCUCUCUGUGCCUGCUGUGUGUGGGGUGUUACCCACCCAUCAUUCAUACAUUCAGCAUACAGCGUGAGACGCCUGUGGCUCAGCCUUCCAACCCAGGGCACUUGGGUUGGGGAGGCAGACAUGGUACAGGCACAGGCAGCUCUGGGACUGCACUGGGGAUUAGGUGGGGUGACUGACUCACGUGGGGAUGCAUUCAGGGGGGGCUUCCUGGAGGAGGUAGCUUGAGAAGAGAAGGGCAGGGCAGAGGGAAGAGUAGAAACAAAGGCUUGGAGGUGGGAGCAUUCCCCAAUGUUGCCUUUAGGGAAUGGAUCAAAACCCAGCAAGUCUGGAAUGCUGAGGUGGUGAGGGGAAGGUGUGGCCAGAAGUGAGGCAGAGAGAAGGUGGGCCCGAGUGUGGUCAAGCUCUUGCCUUGAAACACGACCCCAGCUCCGUUCAGGGCAGGUCUGCUCUCUCCAGGAGACCUUUGAUCGCCAGGGCUUUGAAUUAUCCAGAUUUUCCUCAUCUUUUUGACUCCUCAGUGGUCUCUAGCCCCUAAGGUGGCCCCUAAGUAUCCCCCUCUCCUCAGACGGACAUCGACCUUGACUUCUAAUAAAGUCGGCCUGUGUAAACAGUAGGAGUUUGUGGAAAUGUCGGAGCGUGACCUCUAAGGCCAGGUCACGAGAUGUAUUGCAGCUUCUGCCUCGGUCUCUGGGUUUGGUCACUCUGGGGGAAACGAGCUGCCAUGCCGUGAAGUCACUCAGGCAGCCUGUGGAAAGGCCCACAGGGAAAGGAACUGAUGUCCCACUUCCAGCUGUCACCACCUCGCCCGUCAUAUGAAUGAGCCACUUUGGAAGCAGAUCUUCCCGCCCCAGUCAAGCCUUGAGAUGAGAGCAGCCCCAGAACCACGCAGCCAGGCUGGUCCCAGAUUCUUGACCCAGAGAAAUCAUGAGCCUUACUAAGUUAUGCUUAUUGUUAUGAGUCACUGAGUUUUGUAAUGAUUUGCUGUGCAGCGUCAACUCAUGAGGGCUUCUCCACACCCUUUCUUGGCUCCUCCUGUAAAUUGUUCACUCAUUCUUUCAUGAAUAUUCAUUGGAUACCUACUGUGUACCAGGCACAGGAGAUCAGGUUACAGGCCCCUGUUCUCAGAGCCCCAAGAUUCAGGCCUCCUGUUCCACUACAAUGUUCUAAAUUCACCAGCAUUAGGUCGCAGACUGAGCUGGAUGUCUCUGAGUGACUCUUAACCUUUUAGGAGAUUUAACCUGUUUUGAGAGUCUGAUGAAAACGGAUGGCUAGAAAAAGUCAGCUCUACACAUCAUUAAAUUGGGAUGCACUUUCAAAAGGAUCCCAGGCUAUCCAAAACAAAAGCUUAAGGCUUCAGAUUUCAGAGUCCCCAGCGGAGUGAGGGGUAAGAAGGGCCUCAGCUGCUGAGCUGACAUUUGCUUAAUGACACAGCCCAUCCUGACUGCAGCAGGCUUUCAGCUUGCUCCAGGCUGAGUGCACGUGGCUUGGGUUCCCUUCUCUUCUCUGUGCCCCUGACAGGCUGCCCUGCAGAGAGGCCGGCCGGCCUGGCACGGUCAAUUUAAAAAGGAGAGGCUGAGGAAUUCCCGCUGGGGCUCAGCGCUAACAAACUUGACUAGUAUCCAUGAGGAUGCGGGUUCGAUCCCUGGUCUUGUUCAGUGGGUUAAGGAUCCAGCAUUGCCGUGAGCUGCUGAUGCUAUAUGGCUGUAGUGUAGGCCUGCAGCUGCAGCUCUGAUCCAACCCUAGCCUGGGGACCUCCCUAUGCCGUGGGUGGAGCCCUAAAAAAAAAAAAAAAAAAAAAAAAAA